UAGUAGCAUAAGUGAACAAAAAGCUUCCAUAGUUUUUUUUACCACUGCCAUCCAAACCCAUCAGGUUUUGGUUCCUUUUUGUUCUCCAUCUCGUGAAAGAGAAUGCAUCUGUACCAAAGGAUGUUCUCUUUUUUUUUGUUUUUUUGAGUUUCCCCGUCACUUGGAUAACAAUGUGUCACUCCCUGAAGCGUCUUUCUUCUUUCCCAUGUGGCAUUGUUAAGCUUGUUUGGCCAACCUCCCCCUUCUGCCAUGCCACCUUUUUUAUCAUGCUACACAUAUCUGCUACUCCAAUAAACUAUAGAUAGAUUUUUCUGGCUCGGUUGGAUAACCACGUAUUUUUUGGAUACAUCCAAAAACUUCGGAGAUAUAAACUAUUGAGAAACAAUUGAUAAGGUGGAUUAAAUCGUAAAAGAAUAUUUCAGAGAUAUAAAGCUGAGGUCGUUCAUGAUACAGAACAAAUAUUUUCUUAAAUAAGUGGUCUCCUCAAACGAUCAGCAAACACGAGCACUCCAUACAGAUAACAUUGCUCACCGUAUCAGCAGCCGCCACCUAUGGAUAUAUUUUCAUCAAGCGUAGUUUG
rnacentral:lncRNA from 1 species